UCCAGACUCCUACGGGAGGCAGCAGUGGGGGAUAUUGCACAAUGGGGGGAACCCUGAUGCAGCGACGCCGCGUGGGUGAAGAAGCGCCUCGGCGCGUAAAGCCCUGUCAGCAGGGAAGAAAAUGACGGUACCUGAAGAAGAAGCCCCGGCUAACUACGUGCCAGCAGCCGCGGUAAUACGUAGGGGGCAAGCGUUAUCCGGAUUUACUGGAUGUAAAGGGGGCGCAGACGGCGAUGCAAGCCAGGAGUGAAAGCCCGGGGCCCAACCCCGGGACUGCUCUUGGAACUGCGUGGCUGGAGUGCAGGAGGGGCAGGCGGAAUUCCUGGUGUAGCGGUGAAAUGCGUAGAUAUCAGGAGGAACACCGGUGGCGAAGGCGGCCUGCUGGACUGCAACUGACGUUGAGGCCCGAAAGCGUGGGGAGCAAACAGGAUUAGAUACCCGCGUAU
rnacentral:rRNA from 1 species